rnacentral:rRNA from 1 species
UGGGGAAUUUUCCGCAAUGGGCGAAAGCCUGACGGAGCAAUACCGCGUGAGGGAGGAAGGCUCUUGGGUUGUAAACCUCAAAACUUAGGGAAGAAGAAAGUGACGGUACCUAAUAUAAGCAUCGGCUAACUCCGUGCCAGCAGCCGCGGUAAUACGGAGGAUGCAAGCGUUAUCCGGAAUCAUUGGGCGUAAAGCGUCCGUAGGUGGCAUUUCAAGUCUGCUGUCAAAGACCGAAGCUCAACUUCGGGUAGGCGGUGGAAACUGAAAAGCUAGAGUAUAGUAGGGGUAGAGGGAAUUCCUAGUGUAGCGGUGAAAUGCGUAGAGAUUAGGAAGAACACCAGUGGCGAAGGCGCUCUACUGGGCAUAUACUGACACUGAGGGACGAAAGCUAGGGUAGCGAAAGGGAUUAGAUACCCCUGUAGUCCUAGCGGUAAACGAUGGAUACUAGGUGUUGUCUGUAUCGACCCAGACAGUG